ACAGGGGACUCACUCGGUGCGUGGAUACAGGCAUGAAGGAAGACGCAGAUCGUCCACCUGUGUAUGGGGCCUGUGACCUGCCAGGGUCUGAGGAAUGUAAUCCCAGAAGCAGGUGCCUGAGUCCAGGAAAGCAGAGCCUGCUUCCCAGUCUGCUGGGAGCUAGGACCCAAGCAUCUCCUCAGCACUCAGCUUCAGCUCCCAGCACCAUCUCUUUUGCAUUCCACCAUCACACUCCAAUCCCUGGUGAGUUUCCUCCCCUCUCUUCCCUUCUUUCCUUCCUUCCUUUUCUUAAAGACAAGGUAUUCCAGGCUGAUGUGAAACUUACCACGUAGCUGAGGAUGAAUUUGAACUUCUGGUCCUCCUGCUUACAGCACUACACACACACACACACACACACACACAGAGUGCUGGACAUUGGCUUCUUGCAUGUGGACAAACAGUGUAUACAUACUCUGUGUGCUCUAUUCCCAGCCCUCUAAGACUCAACUCUGGAGUCUCCUGCUCUGGCAAGCCCUUCCUCACUUCCGACCAUGCACCCAGAGAGAGCGAGCCUGCUGGAAUGCUCACUCCCACCACACUGUGGCACAAGCUUUAAACUCUGGGAUUAGAUCGCUCACAAAACCCCAGAAGACCACGGGCUCCUCACCCAGUAGAUACUCCCUGUCUCCAGGUCUGUAACCUGUGCACCGAGGCAGCCUCUUUCACAGAGUUCAGUUCUCACAUCCCGAGGCAGAAAAAUCAGCUGAUUCACCCCUCCUUGGAGCAGAUUCGACAUAGACACUAGUGAGAACCUGACUCAGUGAAUCUAGUCUCUGAGUCAGGGGCAGGUGAAGUCUUUAUCUAGGGUUUUCAGUUACUCACAGUCAGCUGCCCAUUCCAGCACAGCCAUGCUCCGCAUGCAAGUCUAGGAGUCCUCUCCCCUCUCCAGAUGCUCUCCUCUCCCAUCUCCAGCUUCAACGAGCAAGGGGUGACAUCACAAAACAGCGGUACAGUGGAACCUGGGUCUGCCCCACUGACUCAGUGGACUUGAAACGCGCAUUCCCGGUCUUCAGGAAGGGUGAGCCACCAGAAAGAGCACUAUCGGUUUUUCCCUAGCCCCAUCAAUCCCGAAGAUGCUGAAUUUAAUUUAAACUGAGAAAAUGCAGCUCGCUCCGGGCUGGUGUGACUCUGAGCGCACUGCACAGCCAUCAGUGGCCUGCAGCCCCUGAAGGGAAGGACGGGGGGAGGAUAUUACCUGUAUAUCACUGCCUGUCUCCCGACCCUGUUCCUCACAAAAAUCCCCAUGAAGAAGAUGCCGAGGUGCACGCUGUUGCCAUGACUGUCCUGCAGAUCAACAGAAGGCAUCUGUUACCACAGUGAUCUUAGCACACCACUCACAGUCGCCAAGGUCGUCCAGCCCGAGACAGGGUAUUGUUAUCCCAACUUGUCACAAAACACUGUGGUUGUCCCACUCUGAGGAAGGCUGCUAAUUCCUAAAGAACCUGCUAGAAGAACCCACUGAAGAAUCUGACAGAAACCCACUGAAACUCUACAGUGCUGGCUUCACUGGCCGCCCUUCCUCCGGUUCGGACAAGAAAAACAAACAAGCAGAUGGCUACAGAGUGAGAUCCCAACUUCCAGGCAGAGAAGCUGGUUUGGUAGAAACAGAGAAAAGUUUACUGCUUUUUCAGUGACACAAAAUGUUAUGACCAUCUACGGGGUGCUGACAGCGGGCUGCAGAUGGGCUUGCCAGGCAUUACUGCAAGAAGAAUGGAUUACAGCCCUACUAAGGGCGGCAUUAGAGAAGCAAAAGAAAAUUAAACAAAUCUAAAAAGAGAGCCAUUUAGCCCUCACCAUGAGACACGGCCACCCCGCUUGAUUCUGUCCGACGCUCACAAGCCAUUCUCAUUAAGGCAAAUUGCAAGCAAACAGCAGAGAGGGAGCAGGUCAUGCGUAGAAAGCAGCCGGCAGAUCCGGCCCGGAGUGAAAUACUGAAAUGACAGGCGUCCCCAGAUCGCUGGGAUGGCCAGCUGCAAUGGGUUUCUGAUAGCGUGCCCAUCCUUUGAAGAGUUGGUCAGUAGAGAGGGGGAAAUGACUUUGGAUCCUGGGCUCCAUGAUGCUUCCAGCCACACCCACUCCGGGAGGUGAGGCACUUACAGUGGGUGUGAGGUGCUUUCAUGAUUUCCUAGGCAUGGUUUCCAGAAAACACCCACCACACACAGCUCUGCAGAGCUGGAGAAAUAAGACAUGGUUGCAUACUGGAGACGCUUUUAUCUGCGUUGCCAGCAGUCGCCCCACAUCCAAAGAAGAGCACAAGAACCCCCCUCGCUAGCCUCCGUUCACAUCCCCAGGACGCCUGCUGCUUGUCCUGCUUUAAGAAAGGCAAGGUCUGGCCUUGACACUUUAAGGUGAGCAGUGCCAGUACAUGGCUUCAGAUGGAUGUCCUAGAACUGCAGAUAUUCUGCUGAAGAUCAAACCCCAAGUCUCUGAGCUAAGAAGGGGUUCUCUUUGUCUAAAGUGAAUUCUUAACACCGCUGUGCUGGUUAGGAUGACAAAUGUCCCCCGUAAGCUCACGUGUUAGAAAACAUCACCACCAGCUGGGAGAAGUGUUUGGGAAAGUUAUAGAACCUUUCUAGGUAGCAGAACCUUGCUGGAGGAAACAGGUCACCAGGGACAGUCCUGAGGCAUCAUAGCAGUCUGCUCCCUGCUGAUUCUGCACACUGGUUGCUUAUGCAAUGUGACCCACUGCCCCAGUGCCUUCUCCAGCACCAAAGGCCAAGGUAAGAUUGACCUUCCUCCUUCAAGUUGCCGCUCGUCCAGUCACAGAGAAGAAAAAGUAACUAAUUUAUCAACUAAUGUCACAUGACACUGGGAAGCUGAAGCCACUCGGGCCCGUGGCACUAACUCUGAACAUGUGCAGGGGCAGGGACAGCCUGUUACCUUCACGGGGAAGAUCUCCUGUCCAAAUCCAUCCAAACGCUCUACCUCGUUGAUGUACAUCAGUUCAGCUUCAGCCGGCAGGAUCCCGCUACAAUCCAAACAGCGCCACGGGAGGAAACGGUUAGCAGUACAAAAGUGACUGGAAACCCUCAGGAUCCUAACGGCAAACUCUAGAGCUGCGGCACUGGGGAUGGCAAACCUUUCCACCAGAAAGGACGGUACCUUAUCAACUGUGGCAUUGGCAUUCAGCUGCCUUUUACUCAAC